GUACUGUGCAAACGUUAUUCGGAAUCACUGGGCUUAAAGGGUGCGUAGGCGGUGAUUUAAGUAGGGUGUGAAAUCCCUCGGCUCAACCGAGGAACUGCGCUCUAAACUGAAUCACUUGAGUAAGAUAGGGGUGUGCGGAACUUCCGGUGGAGCGGUGAAAUGUGUUGAUAUCGGAAGGAACGCCAGUAGCGAAAGCGGCACACUGGGUCUUAACUGACGCUGGGGCACGAAAGCCAGGGUAGCGAACGGGAUUAGAUACCCCGGGUAGUCCUGGCUGUAAACGAUGAGUACUAGUUGGAAGGCGCUUACGCAUUUUCCAACGUAGCAAACGUAUUAAGUACUCCGCCUGGGGAGUAUGGUCGCAAGGCUG
rnacentral:rRNA from 1 species